rnacentral:miRNA from 1 species
UGGAAGGAGGUUGCCGGACGCU